CCUACGGGAGGCAGCAGUGGGGAAUUUUGGACAAUGGGCGCAAGCCUGAUCCAGCAAUGCCGCGUGAGUGAAGAAGGCCUUCGGGUUGUAAAGCUCUUUUGUCAGGGAAGAAACGGUGGGGGCUAAUAUCCCUUGCUAAUGACGGUACCUGAAGAAUAAGCACCGGCUAACUACGUGCCAGCAGCCGCGGUAAUACGUAGGGUGCAAGCGUUAAUCGGAAUUACUGGGCGUAAAGCGUGCGCAGGCGGUUUUGUAAGUUUGUCGUGAAAUCCCCGGGCUCAACCUGGGAAUGGCGAUGAAGACUGCAAGGCUAGAAUCUGGCAGAGGGGGGUAGAAUUCCACGUGUAGCAGUGAAAUGCGUAGAGAUGUGGAGGAACACCGAUGGCGAAGGCAGCCCCCUGGGUCAAGAUUGACGCUCAUGCACGAAAGCGUGGGGAGCAAACAGGAUUAGAUACCCUGGUAGUCCACGCCCUAAACGAUGUCUACUAGUUGUCGGGUUUUAAUUAACUUGGUAACGCAGCUAACGCGUGAAGUAGACCGCCUGGGGAGUACGGUCGCAAGNUUAAAACUCAAAGGAAUUGACGACUGAGACGNGCGAGACGACGACGAGGGAGGAGG
rnacentral:rRNA from 1 species